rnacentral:rRNA from 1 species
GACGAACGCUGUCGGCGUGCUUAACACAUGCAAGUCGAACGGAAAGGCCCUGCUUUUGUGGGGUGCUCGAGUGGCGAACGGGUGAGUAACACGUGAGUAACCUGCCCUUGACUUUGGGAUAACUUCAGGAAACUGGGGCUAAUACCGGAUAGGAGCUCCUGCUGCAUGGUUGGGGUUGGAAAGUUUCGGCGGUUGGGGAUGGACUCGCGGCUUAUCAGCUUGUUGGUGGGGUAUUGGCUUACCAAGGCUUUGACGGGUAGCCGGCCUGAGAGGGUGACCGGCCACAUUGGGACUGAGAUACGGCCCAGACUCCUACGGGAGGAAGCAGUGGGGAAUAGUGAACAAUGGGCGGAAGCCUGAUGCAGCAACGCCGCGUGCGGGAUGACGGCCUUCGGGUUGUAAACCGCUUUCGCCUGUGACGAAGCGUGAGUGACGGUAAUGGGUAAAGAAGCACCGGAUAACUACGUG